AGAAUCUCCCUCCCUGCAAGAAAAAGGUAAGAAGGAGGGUGGUGAGCUAAACAAUGAUACAAAAAAAUACUCCACAGAUAGUAACACUCAUACUCACACAACACAGAAAUACAAUAAAAACGACACACACGUCAAGACCACAAACAGCCCCCACGCAUACAUAUGCAUUCAAAGACACAGAUAUGAACAGAGACACCAAUAUGCAUUCUAGUCAUGGUUACAGAUACACAAAGAUAUACACAUGAGAGAUGCACAAAGAUACUUAUUGGCAGACACACAAUCUCAGAUACAUGUACGCUACACCGCUACACAAUGCCAGAUAUGCACACGCCGGUACCAAUACAUAACUGCAAGACACUUGCUGUCAUUUUGCAUCUGUAACUGUCAAUAUGUGUGUGCCUGGGCGUCAUUGUGUGUCUUUGUACAUCAUUGUGUUUGAAUGUAAGUGUUUGCAUAUAUCAAAAUGUAUUUAUAUGUGCAUGUAUCAGAGUUUAUAUAUGUAUCAGUAUGUGUGUGCAUGCAUUUGUGUGUGUGCCCAAAUGUCAUGGUAGUAUGGCAGCAAUGUUUACCUUCAUUCAUCUAUCACUUCAGUAAUUCAGGAAACAAAUUAUAAGCUUUUUUCUUGGUGGUACCGCAUGCCUCAUCUCGUGAGCAGAUUCUUUCCAAGCGCCCUCAACAUAGGUAAUAUUUUUAUAUUUUUGUAUAUUUUACAUGUUUGUUCCACAAUAUUUUAACAUGAACUUUCUCUUCAUGUGCCCCAUACAUAUUAUAUAUUGAUUUUGAUAUGAUAGAAAGAGUUGUUAUUUAAUAUCCUAUAUAUAUAUCAAACACAACUUCAAGUGUUAAUAAAAUAUUAAAAAUGGAAAAAUCACAUUUUUGCUUAUAAUAAUUUUUAUACAUCCAGUGCAAAUAAAUGAAAAUAACUCAAAACAGAUUAAUAUAUUAGUCAUGUUUAAUAAAUGUCUACUAUGGCUAGGAUCAAAAUUAAUUUUCUGUAGUUAACGCUAAUCCUAUACCAAUCCCUUCACUAACACUAUGCAAUACAUACCCUUACCCAAUACUUACACUAACUCUAGAUAUAUACCUGCCUUAGCCUUACCCUUAAUCCUAUAUAAUGCCUAACACUAAAUCAGCAUUAAACCAAUGCCAGCAUUAACCUUUACCUUACCUACAUUAACACUAUCUAUUCAUGAAAAGGACUAUAAAUAGGCAACAAGGUCACACAUUGAAACUGUAAGAAAUUAGAUUUAGUCUAAGGCAAAGGAAAGUUGCUGUUUUUUACAGUUAGAACAAAAGGAUGUGGAAUUCUCUGCCUGAAGAGGUGGUUUUAUCAUAGUUUGUACAGAUGUUUAAACAGUGGAAAAUACACUGGCUACACUGGCUAACACUCAGACAUAAUUAUAGGUGUCUCCUUGAAGCAGCCUGGUGUUCAGAAAACCGCAUCUGAGCAUUAUCAGCUGCAGAUGUAUGAAUUAAUUUAAAGGGUGCUGUUGGGGCCAAUAUAUACAACAUACAAAAUACACAAUCCGGCGCACUCGCUUAUUCACUAAACAAUGAUUUAAAAUCUCACAGAUUGUAAUAUUUUAUUUAAAAACACCUCACCCAGGCAAAAAAAAAUGUGGGGGUUUAGUUACAUUAUAUGAUCAUACAUUGCAUAAGCCUGCCACAACAUCAAUGUAAGACCUGCCAAGAAUGGGGUACAUUAACGUUGUGUCAGGCUCAACUAAACCCCCUUUAUUUUUCACCCAGAUGAGGUGUUUGUAAAUAAAACUAUUACAAUCUGUGAGAUUUGAAAUCAUUGUUUAGUGAAAAAGCGAGUUUGCUGGAUUGUGUAUUUUGUAUGUUAUAUUUAUUGGCUCCAGCAGCACCCUAUGAUAUUUGCAUAUUCAGGUGAGUGCAGCCCUAGCCAUCUUUGGUUUUAUUUAUACAUUUAGAGUCCAGGACAACUCCUUGGUUUUGCACCCCUCCCUAUCACAGGUUCCUCAUUCCAGGAUCCUAUUUUGCCUUGACCUGCAGAGAGUCCCAGGAGUUCCCAAGUAAGUGGAUUCAUCUCAUAACGGCAGGCAUUAGGUUGCUAGAGCAGGACAUGCCAAGAAUAGUGUACAUUAAUGUUGUGGCAGGCUUAUGCAAUAUAUGAUCGUAUAAUAUAACUAAACCCCCAUUAUUUUUUGCCUAGGUGAGGUGUUUUUAGAUAAAACUAUAUCAAUCUGUGAGAUUUUAAAUCAUUGUUUAGUGAAUACGCGAGUGUGGUGGAUUGUGUAUUUUGUAUGUUAUAUUGAUAUACAAGCAAAGCCAGACUGAACUGAUUCUUCACUGUAUAUACGAAAAGUAAGUCAGUAAGAAAUGGUGUUGUUCAUAUACAAGUAACAUAAUGUAAGUUUAGCUAGCAAAACAAAAUGUAAUUUCCGUAGUAUGCAACUCCAUCAUGGAAUAAACUAUAGAAAUGUCUGCUUGUAUUAAGCUUGUUUCCUUAAGAUUUACAAAGGUCUUGUUUCUAGGAAACAAAUCCUGUUCAUUGUUUCAAAAUAUAUUGUUUAAUAUGAGGAGGUCAAGAAAGGCAAGAAAUCAUUUUAAUAACAUUUUCACAUUAAAAAUCUCAGCUAUUGCAAGUGCUAAUACGUGUGUAUUGAUUUCAGAAUAAUUAUAUGCAACAAUAAUGUUAGGUGUAUGGUAAAUUCACUGCUUCUGCAUAAAUACCCUCAUACUCAGACAAAGAUUGUUAGUGACUAAUUUUUCAAGUUCUAAAUAACUAAAUAAAUAGGUUAUAAAAAUAAAGCAGUUGAAAAAUGUGUAUAAUGCAAAAAUUGAUAAGAAUUUGUAAUAAAUUAAAUUUAUAUGUGCUGCAGAAUUUUGUAUAAGACUUGUACAGGAGAAUAAUUGUGGUUCUCCUGAACUAUUUUGACAGAAAAAAAUGUUAUGGCAGAAUUUCGUUCAUGAAUUUGUUGGAUCUGAUGAAUCUCCGUGUGCCCACAAUUCCACUUUAUGAUGUGCCCCCAAUUCUUAGUUCUUGUGAACUAUGGUACUGGGACAUUUUUCCUUGUUUAAUUCACUAGAGGAUGAGGGGUGCAACUGUUCCUGUUCAAUCUGUGUCUAUCAACUACUGGCACUAUCCUCUCCAUUCCUGCUACCUAAGGGUACUAGUAGUAGUAGUAAAAGAGGAGGUAGCACUUGUAGUAAAUUGUGACAACUGCACAAAAUAUAUAUUUUGAACACCUCUUUCCUGUCAUGUAACGGAAUGAACAAUUUAUCUAGAGGUUUAUUGCAAGGUGCCUGGGACUGAUCCGCCAUGAUAGCACAAAGCAAUGGUGACGACAAGGAAAGGACAGUGAAUUCUAUGAUACACUCAGGAGGAACAAUGGGUGACGUCUCUUGUUCUAGUUCUGACUCUUGGUCAAAUUGCCUAGAUAAGGCGUCAACUUUAACCUUUUUAGGGCCAGGUCUAUAAGUAAUAAUAAAGUUAAAGCGGGACAAGAAUAGAGACCACCGAGUUUGUCUAGAAGACAGACGAUUGGCAUCACCAAUAUAGACCAGAUUCUUGUGAUUGGUUAUGGUCUUUGGAACCUUCCAAAAGAUGUUGACAUUCCUUGAUCGCCAAUAGUUCUGUUCCCUAUGUCAUAAUUACGCUCAGCUGGGGACAAUUUUCUGGAGAAGUAACCACAAGGAUGCAAUGGGGUAUACUGACUCUCUCUCUGGGAAAGGACAGCCCUGACCCCUGUUUCAGAGUCAUCUACAUUAAGUAUGAAAGCUUUGCUAGUGUCAGGAUGUAUCAAUAUGUCUGCAGAAGCAAACAAUUUCUUGAGACAUUCAAAAGCUUCUUUGGCUUCUUUGGACCAUAAAUUUCAAUUAGCUUCCUUGCGUGUCAUAUUGGUUAUAAGGGCUAUUACUGAAGAUAAACCUUUUUUGAAUCUCCUGUAAUAAUUGGAGAAACCAAUGAACCUUUGAAUGGCCUUCAACCGCUGGUUAAUGGCCAAUGUAGAACAUCUUCUAGUUUGUGAGGAUCCAUUUGGAAGCCAGACACAGAUAUAUUAUAUAUAUGGGUGGGGGCACCCGAUUUGUUUUCCUGACACUAUAGUGAUCCUUUAAGGAAACAUCAGGGACUUCAGCAGAGGAUGGUAAAUUUGGAAUCUGUAAUUGUCAAAGAAUGGUGUAUGUUUACUGUAUUGGUUUAUCUAGUUUUUAUCUGCAAACCAUGCACUGACUAGAAGGGAAUGCCAGUCAUUUUGGAGGUAAGAUCUGUAGCAUUGAAGAUACUGCUCCAAAGUCUGAUUGCUAUGCCCAAUCUGCCCCUUUGUCUGAGGAUUGAGCGAGAAAUUGAAGAGGAUGUCCAGAGGGCAAUCCUUUAUUAAGAUGCCAAACUGAAAGGUGACAUUUUGGACACAUAAGGUUUUUAUUAAACCUGAUAUACACAUCCAUUAUGUGUCAAUAAAUAGAUAUCCAAAUAUGUAAUGAGCAUGAGUAUUCUCCUCAAUAAUCAUGACUGACAUGUGAACAAUGAUAACAGAUCAUGUGAAAGGAAACAUAAGCAAAGGCAUUAAUAAUUUCACUGUAAAGUACAUAUUACAUAAAUAUUAGUCAAUUUUGAGCAAGAGAUAUCCAGAUAUGGUGUAGCUUUAGACCCAUAGGGUAGUAUAAGGCAAAAUCAUUUAAAGAAUAGAGAACUCUUGUAAAUAAAAUAAUAUUUUGGUAUGAAUAGAAAUUAUGAUCUGCACAUAUUUCUAUAAUAUUGACUUUUUGAUUUGAUCUCUACAGGUUUGUUAAUUACCUGGUGGCUGGAUCUCAUGGCUUAACAUUAGGAAAUCAUUGUAGUCACAGUGAUUUACUGUUACUGUUCGUGUAGCAGACUCCUGCAACAUUUUGAUGUAUCAUUUUUGUAGCAUUCUCCAAUGUAAGCUUUUUGUAGUUAACAAUACUGGAUGUUCCAAACCACUUCAGCAGAAACCGACACACAAAUGGUGCCUGUGAUUGAACAGGAAUGCAAAAACUGCUACACAACUGCCUGGCCUAAUGGAUAUAUAAUAUCAACCAUUUUUUGCAAUGCCAACAUUUAAUUAUUAUAUAUCUGG